CAGCCGCCGCGGUAAUUCGUAGGGGGCAAGCGUUGUCCGGAAUCAUUGGGCGUAAAGAGCGUGUAGGUGGCCCGAUAAGUCUGCCGUGAAAGUCCAAGGCUCAACCUUGGGAUGCCGGUGGAUACUGUCGGGCUAGAGUCCGGAAGAGGCGAGUGGAAUUCCUGGUGUAGCGGUGAAAUGCGCAGAUAUCAGGAGGAACACCAAUGGCGAAGGCAGCUCGCUGGGACGGUACUGACGCUGAGACGCGAAAGCGUGGGGAGCAAACAGGAUUAGAUACCCUGGUAGUCCACGCUGUAAACGAUGGGCACUAGGUGUGGGGGGUGUCGACUCCCUCCGUGCCGACGCUAACGCAUUAAGUGCCCCGCCUGGGGAGUACGGCCGCAAGGCUAAAACUUAAAGGAAUUGACGG
rnacentral:rRNA from 1 species